GUUAAUAUGCAAAUAUAUAAGGAAUUCCUACAACUCAAUAGCAAUAAAAUAAAAUAACUUUAUUUCUUUUUUUUUCUUUUUCUUUCCUAUGUCCUGAAUGGUAUUGCCUAGGUUUUCUUCUAGGGUUUUUAUGGGUUUAGGUCUAACAUUUAAGUCAUUAAUCCAACUUGAAUUAAUUUUUGUAUAAGGUGUAAGGGAGGGAUCCAGUUUCAGCUUUCUACAUAUGGCUAGCCAGUUUUCCCAACACCAUUUAUUAAAUAGGGAAUCCUUUCCCCAUUGCUUGUUUUUCUCAGGUUUGUCAAAGAUCAGAUGGUUGUAGAUGUGUGGUAUUA
rnacentral:lncRNA from 1 species